rnacentral:rRNA from 1 species
CCCUUAGAUGUUCUGGGCUGCACGCGCGCUACACUGAAGCGUUCAACGAGUAUUCACCUUGCCCGGGAGGGUUGGGUAAUCUUUUGAAAACGCUUCGUGAUGGGGAUAGAUUAUUGCAAUUAUUAAUCUUCAACGAGGAAUUCCUAGUAAGCGCGAGUCAUCAGCUCGUGCUGAUUACGCCCCUGCCCUUUGUACACACCGCCCGUCACUCCUACCGAUUGAGUGAUCCGGUGAAUAAUUCGGACUGCAGCACUGCUUGGUCUCCAGGCUUUGCAGCGGAAAGUUUAGUGAACCUUAUCACUUAGAGGAAGGAGAAGUCGUAACA